UGAGCAACCUGCCCCUGGCUCUGGGAUAACCCCGGGAAACCGGAGCUAAUACCGGAUACAAGACCGAUUGGCAUCUUUACGGUCUGGAAAGUUUUUCGGCCAGGGAUGGGCUCGCGGCCUAUCAGCUUGUUGGUGGGGUAACGGCCCACCAAGGCGACGACGGGUAGCCGGCCUGAGAGGGCGACCGGCCACACUGGGACUGAGACACGGCCCAGACUCCUACGGGAGGCA
rnacentral:rRNA from 1 species